rnacentral:misc_RNA from 1 species
UUUUCAUUUAAUUGACUGGGUAUAUUUUUAAACUUGUUUAAGAUUGGAUCACUUUCGACAAUUAUCUAUAUAUCUAUAAUCUAUAAUAUAUAUAAACGCGAAAGGUCAUUCAUAACGAAAUCUCCGAAACUAUAACACCUACAAACUUGAAAUUUGGCAGAUAGAUUCCUUAUAGGGCGUAAACAUUCGCUAAGAACGAAUUUUACGAAACUCGACCCCUAAGGGAGUAAAA